GGUGGAGCGAUUUGUCUGGUUAAUUCCGAUAACGAACGAGACUCCAGCCUGCUAAUUAGUGCGUUUGUCCACUGCACCUGUGUAGGCGGCGUCCGGUAUGGCUGCUCCUGUAUACUGUCCUGGCGUGUAGCGUUGCUGUCGCUGUCGUCUUUGUCGUCAUUGCCGUUGUUGCUUAAGCUGCUGUCGCCGUGGCAGCUGCCGCUAUCGGUUUCCCGAUGGUGGUGGUGGUCUUGACGCUGGUGGUGGUAGCACUGGUUUUGGCGGUGGCGUUGGCGCCAGUUGCGUGGUCAGGGCGGUUUGGGGUGUGGCUGGUCCGGCGUUAGCUUCCGGGUACGGCGCGAACGCCUACUUCUUAGAGGGACAAGCGGGAGAAGCCGCACGAAAUAGAGCAAUAACAGGUCUGUGAUGCCCUUAGAUGUCCGGGGCCGCACGCGCGCUACAAUGACGGUGGCAACGAGUCAGACCUUCUGGCCCGAAAGGGUUGGACAAACUGGUCAAUCACCGUCAUGACAGGGAUCGGGGCUUGGAAUUGUUCCCCGUGAACGAGGAAUUCCUAGUAAGUGCAAGUCAUAAGCUUGCGCUGAUUACGUCCCUGCCCUUUGUACACACCGCCCGUCGCUACUACCGAUUGAAUGGUUUAGUAAGGUCCUUGGAUUGGUGCCAUUGUGGUGGUUGUCGCUGCCGAAAGGUGGUGGCCCGCCGACAGGUGCCGAGAAGACGACCGAACUUGAUCAUUUAGAGGAAGUAAAAGUCGUAACAAGGUUUCCGUAGGUGAACCUGCGGAAGGAUCAUUACACGUUCC
rnacentral:rRNA from 1 species